AGAGUUUGAUCAUGGCUCAGGACGAACGCUGGCGGCGUGCCUAAUACAUGCAAGUCGAGCGAAUCGACGGGAGCUUGCUCCCUGAGAUUAGCGGCGGACGGGUGAGUAACACGUGGGCAACCUGCCUAUAAGACUGGGAUAACUUCGGGAAACCGGAGCUAAUACCGGAUACGUUCUUUUCUCGCAUGAGAGUAGAUGGAAAGACGGUUUACGCUGUCACUUAUAGAUGGGCCCGCGGCGCAUUAGCUAGUUGGUGAGGUAAUGGCUCACCAAGGCGACGAUGCGUAGCCGACCUGAGAGGGUGAUCGGCCACACUGGGACUGAGACACGGCCCAGACUCCUACGGGAGGCAGCAGUAGGGAAUCUUCCGCAAUGGACGAAAGUCUGACGGAGCAACGCCGCGUGAACGAAGAAGGCCUUCGGGUCGUAAAGUUCUGUUGUUAGGGAAGAACAAGUACCAGAGUAACUGCUGGUACCUUGACGGUACCUAACCAGAAAGCCACGGCUAACUACGUGCCAGUAGCCGCGGUAAUACGUAGGUGGCAAGCGUUGUCCGGAAUUAUUGGGCGUAAAGCGCGCGCAGGUGGUUCCUUAAGUCUGAUGUGAAAGCCCACG
rnacentral:rRNA from 1 species